AUGAGACGGCAGACCUGCAGGCAAAGGAGACACAGACCCCCUCCCCCACUCGCGGGUGUCAAACGAUGUCGAUGUGGAUGGGGGCCGGCGCCGACAAUGAUGGGCGGGAAACGAAGCGUGUGUCCACGGGCGCAGCCAUGGCUAUGGCGGUGCACCGGAGGUGCUGCUCCUCCACGUUCCCAGACGACCUCCUCAUCGUCAUCUACAGCAUGGUCGCCUCCCCGCGCGCCCGAGCACACUUCGUCACCGUCUGCCGGUCAUGGCACGCCGCUAGUCGCGCCGCUCCCGUGGCUGCUCCUGUCGCCGAUCGACGGCAAUAUGAUAAGGCGGCUCCACUACCUCGAGGACGGCAUUGUCGUGGCCUUGCGGCCAUUGAGCAAGCUCGCAGGGAGGCGGAUCGUGGGCAGGCACAAUGGCGGCUGGGUCCUCUCGCUCUCGUUCACACCGGGCUCCAUCGGGAUCGCAAACCUCUUCUCUAGCGCCCAGGCGAUGCUUGCCAAGAAACAGACGAUGAUAGUCUGUGAGGGCAAGGGCCAUGGCGGCAAUGUCGUCGCCUUGAAAGUUGUGUUCUCCGAGACACCAACCUCAAACAGCUGUAUCCUCGCCGCCAUGACUGUUAGUUGUGGCGUCGCGCUCUGUAGACUCGGUUGCACGGACUGUGGGUGGAUGGUACAAGGAUGCCCUAGGCUAGAGCUUGCAGACACCACCUUCAGCAAUGGCGAGCUCUUUGGCCUACGCUAUGGAGGGACACUCGUCAAGUUUGACAUUGGCGUAAAUGAGGAUGGUGCGCCAAUGAUCAUUGCGGAGCAUCGGCUAAGCCAUGCAAAGGAUCGACCGCACAAGUCUUCCAAUUACAUAUUCGAUCUACAAGGCAAGCUUGCUAUGGCAUCCAUUCACUCGUGGUUGCCAAACCUUGAGCCUUUCUUCAAGGUGUUCAAACUCAUUGACAUCUGUACAGGUGGACAUGAUGCACAUUACAAGCACAAGUGGAUGGAGGUGACAAACUUGGUUGGGCAUGCCUUGUUUCUAGGGAAGAGAUUCUCUAAGGCGGUUCACGUGUCAGCAAACAUGCAAGGAGGUGUGGAGAGAAACUGCAUCUACUACUCGCGCCGUUGUUGUUUAGGUCCAGCCGAUGUUGUCCCUAGUGACAAGGUAUUUUUGACAAUCCCAAAUGACAUCGCUGACCAGACAUAUUACAAGAUAACACGAAGUAACCCCAGAGGGGCUGAAUCCGACACGCCCAAAUCUUCACCCAUCGGGCCUGUCAACACCCGAUCUAGCUCCCUAGUUAGGUUGUUUACUUUUUUCAGUGGUGCUUUCAAGUUUCAACACUUCUCUGUCCCAUUCGUGUACCUCACUGUGAAGCUCUGCAUGCCAAGGAGGAAUCUGCACCCGAAGAAUUGUGCCCCCUACAGCACGUGCGCCUCCUGCUCCGCUGAGGAGUCCACUACUCACAUCUUCCCCGCCCGUGGUAGUGCGGUUUCUACCUGGGAUCGUCUCGGGAUGGGUCCUUUCCACUCGGUGGAGGAGAUCCUUUCCUCACGAUGGCCACGUUGUGGAAGGAUGUGCUCUAUGUGCUUCUCUGGCAGAUCUGAAAAGCCAAGAACAACGUCACCUUCAACAACAUCGGCUGCAACGCUUUCUGUGAUAACAUGUUGCGGGACAUGGCAGGCCAUGCAUCGCCACCGACCUAAAAGAGUAGUCGCACAAGCUCAUCAACCAACUGAUGAUACUCAAGGGAAGAACAAUGAGAAUGGUCCCUCCUGCAACAAUGGGAGUACCUCCAACAAUGAUAGUGGUGUAACAACUAAGAAAAGGAAGGGGCGGACAUGCACCCAACUAAAAUGGCCACCAAAUGGCAUUCACAUUGCAAUUCAACCCAAAGGUGACAGUCACUUUGCAGGAGAUAAGGGGAUAGGUGGCCAGAUUACUGCACUUCUCAAACGUGAAUACCCAUCCAUUAUGAGAAGAAUAAGGAAGGUGUGGAAAUCAAGCGUCAUGCAUCUUCUUGGGAAGAUUAUUACAUUAACAAAGUUACUGAAGAACCGGGGUGGUUCACGAUCAUUUGUUCAGAUCCAAAGCAUGUUGGAAAAAGAGCAUGGGCCUGCAGCAGCAACAAACAUGAACACUUACAAGUGCAUGAAGGCAGGAGUUAAGAAUUGCACCGAGAAUGGAGAAAGUGGCCUCAUCAACAACAUUAAGGCCACAAAGCGUCUUCUUCGAAAGCAGCAGAUCCACUACAUUGGGAGGAUCGUGAUCUCGAUCCAGAAAUCAUGUACUCCUCUGGUGGUGGCAUGCCCCAUGGGGUUUUAUGGCAAGCCAGGAUGGGAAGUACCUGAAGAUCUUCUUGCCUAUCAAGAUGAGCUGAUGGAUGGCAGUGACCUGUGUGUGAUCGCCGUUUUACUUUUCACUUUGUUGAAAUCUAUUGCAUUUUCCCCUUGCAGAUCAAUGAAACCCCAAGCCCAAGAGGAUGAUGGUACUCCCUUGACGGAUCCUUCACAUGUUGAAAACCAUGCUGAUGCACUCAAAUGGAUGAUCAUGAGAUAA
rnacentral:rRNA from 1 species